UAUAAUGUUUGACUCUUCGUUUUAUUAAAAAAGUUUACGAUUAAUAUUUUUGUUUUUAUUAGAUGAUAAAUCAUGAAUAGUACUUUGCGUGUGACUAAUUUUUUUUAAUUUCUUAAAUAAUUUUCAAAUAAGACAGAUGGUCAAUCGCUGGACACGGAAAUCGA
rnacentral:pre_miRNA from 1 species